UCUUUCAUUCUAGUGGGGUCUUUAUUAUUUGGAAAAAUAAAAAUGAUCUGGGGCUCUCUCCAUUCUCACCCCAAAUUUUGGAGUAGGUAAUGGCUGUCUACCACCUGGUCCAACAUAUGCCCCCAAACUAAAACAAACACACUCAUUUGCCAUACAAAUUGUUUACGAUUCAUUAAAAAGCAAAAUUGCAUAUCCCUGUGCUGGCCGCUGAGGCCGAGCCUCCACGGCGGAGGGGGCAUUCACUGAGUUGCCUUUGUAUGCUGGGAGGACCAAGCCGCUUCCCACUCUGCAGCCCGGAGGAGCCUGUGUAGCCAGAUGACGCAUGAGAGAAAAGUUUGCUGACCCCUGGCCUAGUGAAUGAAGCUUAGAGCUUGAAGUUUUACAGGCUUGGAUUCAAAUUCUGAUCUUACAUCUAUGGACAGACGCUUCCUUGUACAGCUGUUCCUGGGGACUGAGCAGUUUGAAGUUUCCAAAGAUGAAAACAUAUUGAAACAUCCAUCUUCUCUGUGGUAUUCAGUGAAGGCCACCCUUACAACUUAAAGGACAAGAGGAACUGAAAACUUAUGUCUACACAAAAACCUGAACACAGAUGUGUAUAGCAGCUUCAUUCAUAUUGCUGAAACUUGGAAGCAACUAAGAUGGUCUUCAGCAGGUUAUUGUGAAGACCAUGUGAGUACAUGCAUAAGGAAGGACCAUGAAUAUACAAUAUGGUUUAAGUGCCUCGGUUACUAUGUUCCUACCACAAUCCUUUAGGAGCAGCCAUCGCAAGCCACCUGUUUUACAGGUUGAGGAAACUGAGGUCCAGAAAUUGACUCAGGAAGAGAAGAGGGGUGGAAUAUAUUGCAGUCACCCUCAGAGAGCCCCCAACAACCACCUUUCACUUAAUUUGGCAAUAUUCUAUUGGACAAGUCAAGUGAUACCCACAAUGCAAGAAGCUGAGUCCCUUUGAAGACUUAUAGAAUAUGAGUCUGCCAGAGUCCCAGAAAGAAACAGAUGGCAUACUCAACCUGGAUGAUUAGAGAAGAAUUGAAUAAAGGAUUCAUUUAUAAAGCCCCCUGACUCCUUGAGGUUGACAUCCAUCACUGUAAGAUAUGGCACCAUAUAGAUAUCCUUCAUGCAUUGUCUUCACCAAGAUAAGUACCAUAUUUGCUUGAUUCAAUGUGAUAUUCUCACUGUUUUUCACAGUGCUUGGUACAUAGUUAUAGCUCAACAAUUAUUUUUCAUAAAAUUAAAAUCUCCCUCUUGGAGAUUUUACUCCUCUUCUCAUAGUCAGCCCCUCUUACCUUCCCUGCCUCCACCUCCAAUGCUGAGUACAUACUCUGAGUGACGUUGCCUAGGGGACUUUUAAAAGUGAAAUGGGAAGGGGACUAAGCUCUCAUGUCAUAAAACUUUCCAUUUUACAGACAAGGAAACUGAGACCUAAAAGGGAAGAAGACUUAUCUAAAGUCAUAAGGAGUAUUAGAGCAUUAGAAAAUGAAGCCCUUGUCUCCUUUGUUUGCCGUCAUAUUAUAACCCCAACUUUAGAUUUUGAUUCAGUGUCUUUCAACCUUUUUUUUUUUUUAGGGCCCUAUGUGCUACAUAUGGAAGUUCCAAGGCUAAUGGUUGAAUUGGAGCUGCAGCUGCUAGCCGACACCAUGGCUACAGCAACAUGGGAUCCAAGCA